rnacentral:pre_miRNA from 1 species
AAUGAAGAAGUCGAUGGAAAGUCAUUCGUCAAAGUGGCUGUGACUGUGUAGUCUUGAGUCAUAUCACAGCCAGCUUUGAUGAGCGACUUUGCAUUUAUGUUUGUCUCA